UCCCUGAUGGCUCAGAUGGUAAAGCAUCUGCCUGUAAUGUGGGAGACCCAGGUUUGAUCCCUGGAUUGGGAA
rnacentral:tRNA from 1 species